rnacentral:misc_RNA from 1 species
AACGCACAUUGCGCCCCUUGGUAUUCCGAGGGGCAUGCCCGUUCGAGCGUCAUUAUAACCCCUCAAGCCUGGCUUGGUGUUGGGGCCUGCUGUUACCGGCAGCCCUUAAAAUCAGUGGCGGUGCCAUCUGGCUCUAAGCGUAGUAAUACUUCUCGCUACAGGGUCCCGGUGGAUGCUUGCCAUCAACCCCUAAUUUUCUAUGGUUGACCUCGGAUCGGGUAGGGAUACCCGCUGAACUUAA